AGAGUUUGAUCAUGGCUCAGAAUCAACGCUGGCGGCGUGCCUAACACAUGCAAGUCGAACGCGGUUAGUAGCAAUACUAACUGAGUGGCAAACGGGUGAGUAACACGUGGGUGACCUACCUUCGAGUGGGGGAUAACGUCCCGAAAGGGACGCUAAUACCGCAUAACAUCCUGUCCUUGAACGGAUGGAGAUCAAAGCCGGGGAUCGUAAGACCUGGCGCUUGAUGAGGGGCCCGCGUCUGAUUAGCUAGUUGGUGAGGUAACGGCCCACCAAGGCGACGAUCAGUAUCCGGCCUGAGAGGGCGGACGGACACACUGGGACUGAGACACGGCCCAGACUCCUACGGGAGGCAGCAGUGGGGAAUUGUUCACAAUGGGCGCAAGCCUGAUGACGCAACGCCGCGUGGAGGAUGAAGGUCUUCGGAUUGUAAACUCCUGUUGCUCGGGACGAAAAGCUUCGACCUAACACGUCGAGGUCUGACGGUACCGAGUGAGGAAGCCCCGGCUAACUCUGUGCCAGCAGCCGCGGUAAUACAGAGGGGGCAAGCGUUGUUCGGAAUUACUGGGCGUAAAGGGCGCGUAGGCGGCCCGCUAAGUCGAACGUGAAAUCCCCGAGCUCAACUCGGGAACUGCGUCCGAUACUGGCGGGCUUGAAUCCGGGAGAGGGAUGCGGAAUUCCAGGUGUAGCGGUGAAAUGCGUAGAUAUCU
rnacentral:rRNA from 1 species